CUUUUGCCCUUCCGCCUUCUGCCAUGCAAAGAUAGCAUACCUCGCCUCUGGAAGAUGCAGUGCUCAAGGCACCAUCUUGGGAGUGGGGAACAGCCCUCACCAGAUACCAAACCUACCAGCACCUUGAUCUUGGACUUCCCAGCCUCCAGAGCUAAAGUAGUUCUAUAAGGACAAAAAAUAUUGAAAGAAACAUGUCUGUAAGCGGUGGGAAGACACUGAAGGAUUUUAACCAGGGAAAUGAAUUGAAUGGAUUUGUAUUUAAGAUCCACGUGGGAGCAGUGGAUGAAAGAAAGUUGAGAUCCUGGUUCGGCUGGCCCCUUCCUAGCUGUUUGAAUUUGGGGAAAUCACUAAACCCUUGUGAGCCUCGGGUUCUUCAUAAGAUGGAGAUAGUGCUGCCUUCUUCAUCUGGCUGUUAUGAGAAUUAUAAUUAAAAUGCCUAGGAUAAUAAAUGCUUAACAUGCACUGGUUUCCU
rnacentral:lncRNA from 10 species